GAGCACCUGGGCCCACUCUUUGUGGUGCAAGUGGAGACAACUCCUUGGCAGAGAGGCCCUGGGCUGAGAGCAGGGAGGAAAGGAAAUCCUUGUGUAUCCAAGCUGCUCUCCGGCCAGGGAUUGAACCUGCACCCCUUGCACUGGAAGGUGAAACCGUAACCACUGGACUACCAGGAAAGUCCCUGCCUACUCUUAAUUAUCAAGGAUGAGACUCAAACAAGCUGAUAUCCUGGGAAAGGGGACAGAACAUUUUGUAUUUGAUGAAGAGAGCCCUUCACUUAAUAUGUGGAGUUCCGGAGAAGGAGAGACCAAUUGCAUGAAGAGAUCAGGCCUUCGUAUGAGAAAGAAAUGGGAAUAUUCCAGAUCUGCUGAAGGCAGACUCCUCUUAGGCUGAACUGGAAGGCAGUUGAAGUUAAGAACACUUCCUAGAUGACAUGUUCACCCUGGCAUGAUUUCAAGCCUUUACAGAAAAAAAUGGCUGAGCGUCAGAGGGUGGACUUGUGCCUGCAAAAUGGAAGAGAUGAAACCUUGGAAUUAUAACCCAGAGCAGGGACAAGCAAUCAUUCGCUGGAGCAGGGCCAAGAGGGACAGUGGUGCCAAUGGGCUGAUGACAGCGUCCAGUUCUUUCUCUCCCUCUUUCAUCAUUUGAUUUCUGGACGCUACUUGUGCUCGUGGACAAUAAGGGGUGUGUAUUGUAAAACUGUGAGGAGGGAGGAGGCAGUGCUUGAGAGGACAGAAAGGGUAUACAAAACUUGGAACAAUUAAGUAAAAAAAAAAAAAAAUCAUCAUCAUAUUUUCACUCACAAUAGUUUGCAGGGGUUGUGUAGACCAUGCCAGCCUUCAGUAUAUCUAAAUGAAGAAUGGGAUUGAAAUCUAGCCCCUAAAUACAUGCAUUAAAGGCAUAUAGGGUGUGUAGCUAUGGUGAAACAGAUAAUGGGCACAGAAUUUGUAGCUGCCCUUUGAGCUUGGUCUGGCCUGAACAUGUGAACAAGAUGAAUAAUACAUAAGAACAAUGAGAUCUAUUCAUUUAUCCGAGCUAGUUUUGAGAAACAGAAACCAAAUUACAAUGGUUGCAGUACUGACUUAAAGGAGAACAGCAAUUCAUUUAAAACAGCUUCUUCAAAACUAGUUAACAUACAGACUUCUUUUAAGGGAAAUUUUACAGAUUUCCACCACUGACUUAAAUUAUCUCUGCUGCUGCUAAGUCGCUUCAGUCGUGUCCGACUCUGUGCGAUCCCAUAGACUGCAGUCCACCAGGCUCUCCCAUUCCUGGGAUUCUCCAGGCAAGAACACUGAAGUGGGUUUCCAUUUCCUUCUCCAAUGCAUGAAAGUGAAAAGUGAAAGUGAAGUCGCUCAGUCGUGUCCGACUCCCAGCGACCCCAUGGACUGCAGCCUACCAGGCUCCUCUGUCUGUGGGAUUUUCCAGGCAAGAGUACUGGAGUGGGGUGCCAUUGCCUUCUCCAAAAUUAUCUCUGCCAUAAUGAUAUGGU
ensembl:lncRNA